CGUGCCUAAUACAUGCAAGUCGAGCGGAAUGAUGAAGAAGCUUGCUUCUUCUGAUUUUAGCGGCGGACGGGUGAGUAACACGUGGGCAACCUACCUUGUAGAUUGGGAUAACUCCGGGAAACCCGGGGCUAAUACCGAAUAAUCCAUUUUGCUUCAUGGCGAGAUGUUAAAAGGCGGCUUCGGCUGUCACUACGAGAUGGGCCCGCGGCGCAUUAGCUAGUUGGUAGGGUAAUGGCCUACCAAGGCGACGAUGCGUAGCCGACCUGAGAGGGUGAUCGGCCACACUGGGACUGAGACACGGCCCAGACUCCUACGGGAGGCAGCAGUAGGGAAUCUUCCACAAUGGACGAAAGCCUGAUGGAGCAACGCCGCGUGAGUGAAGAAGGUUUUCGGAUCGUAAAACUCUGUUGUAAGGGAAGAACACGUACGAGAGUAACUGCUCGUACCUUGACGGUACCUUAUUAGAAAGCCACGGCUAACUACGUG
rnacentral:rRNA from 1 species